AAAAACAUUUCUUAUAUAAUUAUUAUAAGUAAAAUUUGCUCCAUAUAAUAUAAAUAGCCGCAGAAUAUUAACUGUGCUAAGGUAGCAUAAUCAUUUACCUUUUAAUUAAAGGUUUGCAUGAAUGAUUAAACAAUUAAAUUACUUUUUUAUUAAUCUUUAUUAAAAUUAAAUUAGACAUAAAAAUGUUUUUAUAAAAAAAAAAGACGAUAAGACCCUACUGAACUUUACUUAAGUUUAGCUGGGGAAGCUAAUUAAAUACAAUUUUAAUUCAAAAAUUUACAACAACUUCUAGCAUAGUUAUACUAACAAGUUACCAUAGGGAUAACAGCGUAAUAUAAUUUUAAAGCUCAUAUUCAAAAUUAAGCUUACGACCUCGAUGUUGAAUU
rnacentral:rRNA from 1 species